rnacentral:rRNA from 1 species
UACGGAGGGUGCAAGCGUUGCUCGGAAUCACUGGGCGUAAAGCGACCGCAGGCGGCCUGACAAGUCGGAUGUGAAAGCCCUGGGCUCAACUCAGGAACAGCAUUCGAAACUGGCAGGCUUGAGUACGGGAGAGGGGGGUGGAAUUCCUGGUGUAGGGGUGAAAUUCGUUGAUAUCAGGAGGAACACCGGCGGCGAAGGCGGCCCCCUGGCCCGCAACUGACGCUCAUGGUCGAAAGCGUGGGGAGCAAACAGG